UGGUGGAGCGAUUUGUCUGCUUAAUUGCGAUAACGAACGAGACUCUGGCCUACUAACCAGAAGACAGUUCUUCGAGACUGUCACACUUCUUAGAGGGAUAAGGGGAUUGAAGCCCCAAGAGAUUGAGCAAUAACA
rnacentral:rRNA from 1 species